ACGCACGCUGGCGGUGUGCUUCACACAUGCACGUCGAACGGAAAGGCCCUGCUUUUGUGGGGUGCUCGAGUGGCGAACGGGUGAGUAACACGUGAGUAACCUGCCCUUGACUUUGGGAUAACUUCAGGAAACUGGGGCUAAUACCGGAUAGGAGCUCCUGCUGCAUGGUGGGGGUUGGAAAGUUUCGGCGGUUGGGGAUGGACUCGCGGCUUAUCAGCUUGUUGGUGGGGUAGUGGCUUACCAAGGCUUUGACGGGUAGCCGGCCUGAGAGGGUGACCGGCCACAUUGGGACUGAGAUACGGCCCAGACUCCUACGGGAGGCAGCAGUGGGGAAUAUUGCACAAUGGGCGGAAGCCUGAUGCAGCAACGCCGCGUGCGGGAUGACGGCCUUCGGGUUGUAAACCGCUUUCGCCUGUGACGAAGCGUGAGUGACGGUAAUGGGUAAAGAAGCACCGGCUAACUACGUG
rnacentral:rRNA from 1 species